rnacentral:lncRNA from 1 species
CCUCUUCUCCACUGGCCCCAUGGGCUUUCUGAGCUGUUCGGGCACCGAGCGAUGGCCUCAUCUCCCUGGGAAUCAUCUGCUGGCUUUGUGCGUGGAGAAGCAAGAUUUGGGGAUGGGCUUCCACAGCUGGGCUGGUACACAGCUCAGAAAAACUCACGGUGGCUCUGCCAGGCCCCCAGCUGAAGCAUCGGGAUGCAUUUAUGCGCAGUGUCUCCUCCAGUCAGCGUGCCUUCAGCAUCGCCACGACUCGAUACAGGAGCUGGUAGCUGUCAGGGAGAGCAGCCCUGCGAGCUGUACACCUUCAGCAUCCUCCAGAGCAUGUUUGAGGAGCUGACACUAGAUAAAUAAUAGGGGAUUAAGAUGCGGGGGGACUGCUGUCCUCAGGUACUGGAGCGUGGUGCUCAGCAAUCGCCUGGUGUCUCUCCUGGAGGUUCUGUAAUGUCUGCAGUCUCAUCAUCCCAAAGCCAGGGUAUAUUGAUGCUCAGGAUGAGAAAAUCUUUUAUUUUUUUUUCUCCAGGUGGUGCACGGGAGCCCCACGUUGUUCCCCAGUGUCCCAGACCAUUGGGGAAAGGAGGGGAGAGCAGCGUUGGGACCAGAGGGGUCAUCACCGAGGAUGUGGCGCUUCCAGUCCCAGGGUGCGGUGUGCUGCUCGCUGCUGGGAGCUCCACACGCGUACGAGCGUAAGUAAACCAAGCCAGAAACACAAAUCCUCGCUGGGAAUUGAAGAACGUCUUAAGUAAACAGAGGGAACAAAUGGGUUGUGUGACAGAUAUACAGGGCUUCUGUCUGCAGCGCAAUCAGCCGGCCCUGCCGCUGCCGUGCCGGGGGCCCGGCUUUUGUGCCCGCCUGAAUAGGGGCUAAAUAUCCCUUGAAAUCAGAACUCUUUGGCUUCGCGAGUGGAGGGGCCGCAGUCUUGCUCUUUUCAGAUGCAAAUGCAAGUGGUUUUCUUCUUUAUCUCGCCCGUAAGAUGGUGGUGUCAAGCUGGGCCGAGAUGAAUAAAACGGAGAAUUUAUGCUUUAUUGAGAUCUAU